rnacentral:lncRNA from 10 species
CAGGAAGGUCGAAAGGAACACAGCCAGGAAUCAGGAAGUAUGCACCCAAAGGCUGCUAAGUAACCAAGGGAGGUGUUACGAAGCCCACACACUAAAGCUGGAUGGAAGCAGUCUGUGGCAGGGAUUAUGCCUAUUUUGUUUACCACUAUAUCUCAAGCACCUGGAACAAGGUUACUGGGGUUUAAAAUGGCCUUCAGGAAGACUCUAUUAUUUUUCCACUUUGGCCCCUCCCUCUGCCAAAAGCACCUUGUGAAAAGUGAGUUCCUCAAAUAAGAAGAUCUACAUUGUGUGUAAUCUUAGUGGGGCUGCCAUUCCUGGUGACUACAUUCCAUUACCAAAGCCGAAGGAAACAGAUCCUUGCCCUCCUUGACUCUGCAGGACCAGGGGCCAGAUGAAGAAACUAUGACACAGAGAGGCGAAGUAACUUGAUAAGAUCAAAACAUGGAUUCCACUCUUCUCUAAUCUAGAAAAACAUCAUUGUCUGCAACAUCCUCAACUAUCAGCAAACUUAGUCUUCUGGAAGAGACAUCAGGGAAAAACUGGCCUCAGUGAAAAAUUAGCUCAGCAGAUACUGUAACAACUAGCAUGGCAGUAAACUCCAAGAUGAUGAUCACUGGGUUUAUGUUUCCCAACUAAAUGACAAGUACCUUCUCCAGACAGCUAAACAACCACUCCAUCAGGAGACCUUAAACCAAUGAUUCUUAGGAAUCCUCCAGAAGCCAACAUCUUUGGUGGAAGACUACUAAUCAAGACCUUCAAAUCAAACAAAUGACAAUACAAAGUAGACAGCAUGGCAACAAGGAAGGCUACAAGGCAACAAGGAAGAUUAAUUUUCUGAUACCUUUGCUACUUUCCCUCUUCUGCUUAUUACAGUUUGGUACUCCCUAGAGAUUGCCUAAAGGUUUCUCAGUAUUCUCUCACAUUUAUCAUUUUAUACUUAAUUCUUUAUGGUGUUUUUUGGCCACCUUAAGAAUUUUGAGCAGUUUUCUCAAACUAUAGCUACUCCCUGAAUCUUUCAAAUUCCACCAUAAAAUAUAUAUAUAUAUAUAUUUCCUUUAAAUUCUUGAGGAGGCCAGUUAAUUCCCACAGGUCCCUUUUGGUAUUUGAAUUUUCUUCAUAUCAUUAACCUCACUCUUCAUUCUUGUAAAAACUGGAUCUCUACCUUAAUUAAACAAAUAUACUUCUGCUACAAUCAUUACAGCACUGUCAGCAGACAGAAUCAAGCUCACCAAGGCAGGGGACAAAUGUUGGAGCUAUCCUCACUGCACUAGUCAGUUUUCUCCAGAUUUUUCAGACUUCUCUGUAGGAACUAUUUAACUCCUCUAAGAAUAUGCCCACCUCAAGGAAACAAUUCUUGGCUCACUCCUGUUGUGAUAAAUAUUUAUAUUUCUACUAUCUUCUGUAACCCAGCCGGCAUUAUUUAUGUCAACACCAGGUUUUUACCUGCCUCCUGUACACAAACCUACCUUGCAUAUAUAGAAUAAUUGUUAGAUGUUCAGAUAUUUAAAGCCCUUUUCUUUCCAGCAUAUCACGUGUCUCCGAGAAUAACCAGAAACUUCCAAAAUAAGGCAGGUAUAGGCUACUCAGGAAAGCUCCCAGAAGUGAUGACUCCUUAUGCAUACUGUGCAAGAUACUAUUCUAGAAGUAAGAAUAAUACUAGAAAAUGUGGCCCAAAAUUUCACUCCCAUCAUCUGCUCUGGAAGCCCAAGAAACUAGUUUAAAUUCACUACAACCCAAGAUUAUCAUGAAUAAUCAUAUAUUCUUUUGAUUUCUUAGCAGACCAAGGAAUAGUUUGUGUUUACUUAGUAUUUCCUGUUGUAUCACUACAAAAAUCACUGGGAAGAGGCUACCUGACUGUAGAAGAGGCACAACUGAACUUCAGGAUGUUUUUUCAGCUUGGGUUUGGCAAUCUAGGUCCUAGAUACAAGUUGUAGUACAUGAAUAAUCAUUUUGCUUCUGGAAAUUGUAUUGCAAUUAGCUGAUGUUUUCUGUGCAGAGUAUUAAAGACUGUUGUGUAGCCAUUGCCAAGUCUCAUGAUUCAACAAUUGCUAUGGUUUGAAUAUUUGUCCCUUCCAAAAUUACGUUGAAAUUUUAAUCCCAAUGUGGC